rnacentral:rRNA from 1 species
GACGAACGCUGGCGGCGUGCCUAAUACAUGCAAGUAGAACGCUGAAGGAGGAGCUUGCUCUUCUGGAUGAGUUGCGAACGGGUGAGUAACGCGUAGGUAACCUGCCUGGUAGCGGGGGAUAACUAUUGGAAACGAUAGCUAAUACCGCAUAACAGUAGAUGUUGCAUGACAUUUACUUAAAAGGUGCAAUUGCAUCACUACCAGAUGGACCUGCGUUGUAUUAGCUAGUUGGUGGGGUAACGGCUCGCCAAGGCGACGAUACAUAGCCGACCUGAGAGGGUGAUCGGCCACACUGGGACUGAGACACGGCCCAGACUCCUACGGGAGGCAGCAGUAGGGAAUCUUCGGCAAUAGACGGAAGUCUGACCGAGCAACGCCGCGUGAGUGAAGAAGGUUUUCGGAUCGUAAAGCUCUGUUGUAAGAGAAGAACGAGUGUGAGAGUGGAAAGUUCACACUGUGACGGUAUCUUACCAGAAAGGGACGGCUAACUACGUG